GGGUUGCAGAGGCCACGCAAACGCUACUCUGGGUUAUUUCGGGACCAGCAAUGAAACAUUGAGCCAGCCUUUUCUCUCCGAGCCAGCCACACCAGCACGAUUUGACUUUUGACAUCUUUCCUUGUGAUGAGAAACGGCUGACUCUUUCAGCAGUUGUAGGCAAAAGGGCCUGCUAACCGGAGGGAAGGAAACCCGUACCACAGACCCUACAGGAAGGAAGGCCUGUGCCUGGGAAACUCACAGGCAGAAGCCGUUAGAGGGCAGCAAGUGUCUGUCUGGGAGCCCAGGCAGCAAGAGGACAAAGGAGCGCCUGGGAGCUGCCAGCAGCCUGGGGGCACCACUGGGUUUGACAAGGAAGGACGAAA
rnacentral:lncRNA from 1 species